UACAGAGGGUGCGAGCGUUAAUCGGAAUUACUGGGCGUAAAGCGCACGUAGGCGGCUUGGUAAGUCAGGGGUGAAAUCCCGGGGCUCAACCUCGGAACUGCCUUUGAUACUGCGGGUCUUGAGUCCGAUAGAGGUGGGUGGAAUUCCUAGUGUAGAGGUGAAAUUCGUAGAUAUUAGGAAGAACACCGGUGGCGAAGGCGGCCCACUGGAUCGGUACUGACGCUGAGGUGCGAAAGCGUGGGGAGCAAACAGG
rnacentral:rRNA from 1 species